CGAGCCCUAUUCUCACCCCGUGUCUACCUACUUUGUUGCUUCGGCGGCGCCAGCUCCGGCUGGGCUAAGUCCGUCGAGGGCCCAACUCUUGAAUCUCUGCUGUCUGAGUACUAGCUAAUAGUCAAAAACUUUCAACAACGGAUCUCUUGGUUCUGGCAUCGAUGAAGAACGCAGCGAAAUGCGAUAAGUAAUGUGAAUUGCAGAAUUCAGUGAAUCAUCGAAUCUUUGAACGCACAUUGCGCCCUCUGGCAUUCCGGGGGGCAUGCCUGUUCGAGCGUCAUUGCAACCCUCAAGCUCUGCUUGGUGUUGGGCUCGCCCUGUGGGGCCGGCCUCAAAGUCAGUGGCGGCAACGUCUGACCCCAAGCGUAGUAAUACUUGCCGCUUGUUGGGUGCGGGCGGUGGCUUGCUAACAACCCCCAC
rnacentral:rRNA from 1 species